AACGAACGCUGGCGGCAUGCCUAACACAUGCAAGUCGAACGAGACCUUCGGGUCUAGUGGCGCACGGGUGCGUAACGCGUGGGAACCUGCCCUUAGGUUCGGAAUAACUCCCCGAAAGGGGUGCUAAUACCGGAUAAUGUCUUCGGACCAAAGAUUUAUCGCCUUUGGAUGGGCCCGCGUUGGAUUAGCUAGUUGGUAGGGUAAAAGCCUACCAAGGCGACGAUCCAUAGCUGGUCUGAGAGGAUGAUCAGCCACACUGGGACUGAGACACGGCCCAGACUCCUACGGGAGGCAGCAGUGGGGAAAAAUGGACAAUGGGCGAAAGCCUGAACCAGCGAUGCCGCGUGAGUGAUGAAGGCCUUAGGGUUGUAAAGCUCUUUUACCCGGGAUGAUAAUGACAGUACCGGGAGAAUAAGCUCCGGCUAACUCCGU
rnacentral:rRNA from 1 species